GUGCCAGCAGCCGCGGUAAUACAGAGGGUGCGAGCGUUAAUCGGAUUUACUGGGCGUAAAGCGUGCGUAGGCGGCCAUUUAAGUCAAAUGUGAAAUCCCCGAGCUUAACUUGGGAAUUGCAUUCGAUACUGGAUGGCUAGAGUAUGGGAGAGGAUGGUAGAAUUCCAGGUGUAGCGGUGAAAUGCGUAGAGAUCUGGAGGAAUACCGAUGGCGAAGGCAGCCAUCUGGCCUAAUACUGACGCUGAGGUACGAAAGCAUGGGGAGCAAACAGGAUUAGAUACCCUGGUAGUCCAUGCCGUAAACGAUGUCUACUAGCCGUUGGGGCCUUUGAGGCUUUAGUGGCGCAGCUAACGCGAUAAGUAGACCGCCUGGGGAGUACGGUCGCAAGACUAAAACUCAAAUGAAUUGACGGGGGCCCGCACAAGCGGUGGAGCAUGUGGUUUAAUUCGAUGCAACGCGAAGAACCUUACCUGGCCUUGACAUACUAGAAACUUUCCAGAGAUGGAUUGGUGCCUUCGGGAAUCUAGAUACAGGUGCUGCAUGGCUGUCGUCAGCUCGUGUCGUGAGAUGUUGGGUUAAGUCCCGCAACGAGCGCAACCCU
rnacentral:rRNA from 1 species